UACGAAGGGGGCUAGCGUUGUUCGGAUUUACUGGGCGUAAAGCGCACGUAGGCGGUUUGUUAAGUCAGGGGUGAAAUCCCGGAGCUCAACUCCGGAACUGCCUUUGAUACUGGCAAGCUAGAGUCCGGAAGAGGUAAGUGGAACUCCUAGUGUAGAGGUGGAAUUCGUAGAUAUUAGGAAGAACACCAGUGGCGAAGGCGGCUUACUGGUCCGGAACUGACGCUGAGGCACGAAAGCGUGGGGAUCGAACAGG
rnacentral:rRNA from 1 species